ACUCCAGUUGAUCCUGCUGGAGGACACUGCUUUUGGAGUUCGAAUAAAUCAUGCAAGUCAGAGAGCAAUCUCGGCGAACGGCUUAGUAACACGUGGUCAACCUGCCCUAAGGCGGGGGAUAACCUUGGGAAACUGAGGAUAAUACCCCAUAGGGAACAGACACUGGAACGUUCUGUUCUUGAAAGGCUUGCCACCUUAGGAUGGGACUGCGGCAGAUUAGCUAGUUGGUGAGGUAACGGCCCACCAAGGCUUUGAUCUGUAGGGGCAAUGGAAGUUGUGGCCCCAAGAAGGGUACUGAGACAAGGACCCUAGCCCUACGGGGUGCAGCAGAGACGAAACCUAUGCAAUGCGCGAAAGCGUGACAUGGGGACUCCAAGUGCUCAUGCGAAAGUAUGAGCUUUUGUCAAGCGUAAAUAACUUGGCGAAUAAGGACCGGGCAAUACCCGUGCCAGCCGCCACGGUAAUACGGGAGGUUCAAGUGGUGUCCGCGAAUACUGGGCUUAAAGCGUCCGUAGCCGGCCUGGUAAGUCCUUAGUGAAAGCUCAUCGCUCAACGGUGAGAAGUGCUAUGGAUACUGCUGGGCUUGGAGGCGGGAGAGGUAAGAGGUACGUUAGGGGUAGCGGUUAAAUGUGUUGAUCCUUAACGGACCACCAGUAGCGAAGGCGUCUUACCAGAACGCGCUCGACGGUCAGGGACGAAGGCUAGGGGAGCGACCCGGAUUAGAUACCCGGUUAGUCCUAGCAGUAAAUUAUGCAGACUAUGUGUCGUGCCAUCUACAUGGUGGUGCGGUGCCGCAGGGAAACCGUUAAGUCUGCCGCCUGGGGAGUACGGUCGCAAGGCUGAAAACACCUCGACUAGCGUCUCGGAUUAUGCUGGUCGAGUGUCAGCAUACUUAAAGGAAUUGGCGGGGGAGCACCACAAUGGGUGGAUAAGUCAAAAAGUGAUUAUGUCGCUUUUGGCUACACAGGCUGCGGUUUAAUUGGAUACAACGCCGGACAUCUUACCAGAGGUGACAGCAGAAUGAUGGACAGUCCGAAGGGCUUUCCUAACACGCUGAGAGGUGGUGCAUGGCCAUCGUCAGCUCGUGCUGUGAAGUGUCCUGUUAAGUCAGGCAACGAGCGAGACCCACACCAUUAGUUACCAGGAUUCUCAUUACGAGGGUCGGCACACUAAUGGGACUGCCUCAGUUAAUGAGGAGGAAGGAGUGGGCGACUAUAGGUCCGUAUGCCCCGAAUCUUCUGGGCCACACGUGGCAUACAUUGGUAGGUACAAUGGGAUGCUACUCCGAAAGGAGACGCUAAUCUCUUAAAGCCUACCCAAGUUUGGAUCGUGGGCUGUAACUCGCCCACGUGAAAAUGGAAUCCAUAGUAAUCGCGUGUCAUUAAAUCGAGUAAGUUAGGCACACCACCAUUUUGCGGAAGGAUUAAAUAGAUCAUCGUUC
rnacentral:rRNA from 1 species